rnacentral:rRNA from 1 species
CAGCCGCCGCGGUAAUACGUAGGUCCCGAGCGUUGUCCGGAUUUAUUGGGCGUAAAGCGAGCGCAGGCGGUUAGAUAAGUCUGAAGUUAAAGGCUGUGGCUUAACCAUAGUACGCUUUGGAAACUGUUUAACUUGAGUGCAAGAGGGGAGAGUGGAAUUCCAUGUGUAGCGGUGAAAUGCGUAGAUAUAUGGAGGAACACCGGUGGCGAAAGCGGCUCUCUGGCUUGUGACUGACGCUGAGGCUCGAAAGCGUGGGGAGCAAACAGGAUUAGAUACCCGCGUAGUCCCUGUCUCUUAUACA